CAAACUAUAGGUUCAGGGCUCAUUUCUCUAGUUCAUUACUAGAGAAGUUUCUCUGACUGUAUAGAGUACCAGAAACCACAGGGAGGAGACACAGCAUUCUCUCCUGAGCAAUGAAGCCAGCUCUUGGCGUUGCUUUGCUGGUUGCCAUUUUCCAUUGGUGAUUGUUCUUCUCUCUUUCAGGAGAGCAGAGGGAGAGGAUCCAGUCUGAAUAGU
rnacentral:snoRNA from 1 species